rnacentral:snRNA from 1 species
AUCGCUUCUCGGCCUUUUGGCUAAGAUCAAGUGUAGUAUCUGUUCUUAACAAUUUAAUAUCUGAUACGCCCUGUCCACUCCACGCAUUGACCUGGUAUUGCAGUAUUUCCAGGAUCUGUGCACCAAAA